rnacentral:rRNA from 1 species
ACGGGAGGCAGCAGUGGGGAAUAUUGGGCAAUGGGCGCAAGCCUGACCCAGCAACGCCGCGUGAAGGAUGAAGGUCUUCGGAUUGUAAACUUCUUUGAUCAGGGACGAAUAAUGACGGUACCUGAAGAACAAGUCACGGCUAACUACGUGCCAGCAGCCGCGGUAAUACGUAGGUGACAAGCGUUAUCCGGAUUUACUGGGUGUAAAGGGCGCGUAGGCGGGGAUGCAAGUCAGAUGUGAAAUCCAUGGGCUUAACCCAUGAACUGCAUUUGAAACUGUAUCUCUUGAGUGUCGGAGAGGUAGAUGGAAUUCCUAGUGUAGCGGUGAAAUGCGUAGAUAUUAGGAGGAACACCAGUGGCGAAGGCGAUCUACUGGACGAUAACUGACGCUGAGGCGCGAAAGCGUGGGGAGCAAACAGGAUUAGAUACCCUGGUA